GUUUCUGUAGUGCAGCGGUUAUCACGUUCACCUCAUACGCGAACGGUCCCUGGUUUGAAACCGGGCAGAAACA